AACGCACAUUGCGCCCAUUGGUAUUCCGAUGGGCAUGCCUGUUCGAGCGUCAUUAUCCUCCCUCAAACCUUUUUUGUGUUUGGUGUUGGGCCGCGCCUCCCCUCGGCGGGCCCCAAAGGCAGUGACGGCGUCCGUGGGACCCUCGAUGCAACGAGCUUCAAUUUUGUGAGCACGCGUCGAGUUGAAAGGACCCCCGGGCCCGGUCGACCCCCCUUAUCUUUAGGGGACAUUUUUUUCCAGGUUGACCUCGGAUCAGGUAGGAAUACCCGCUGAACUUAA
rnacentral:misc_RNA from 1 species